rnacentral:rRNA from 1 species
UACGUAGGCAGCGAGCGUUGUUCGGAGUUACUGGGCGUAAAGCGUGCGCAGGCGGUUUUGUAAGUCAGAUGUGAAAGCCCGCGGCUCAACCGCGGAUUGUCGUUGGAAACUGCCUCGCUAGAGUCCGGAAGAGGAGAGCGGAAUUCCUGGUGUAGCGGUGGAAUGCGCAGAUAUCAGGAAGAACACCCGUGGCGAAGGCGGCUCUCUGGGACGGUACUGACGCUGAGACGCGAAAGCGUGGGGAGCGAACAGG